rnacentral:lncRNA from 1 species
GGGAGGAGCAGGACCUGCUGGGCUGGGGCCUCAGACCUGCAAGAGCCACUGGUAACGGACUGACACAUAAGCAAGUCUAUACACCUGUGUGUAAAGAUGUAAAACCACAGAUAAAAAUUCCUGUAACUACAAAUGCUUCUAUUUCCUGGAAUGUGAAUACAGAUUAACAUGCAAUGGAUUGCAUCUCAGCUGAACAGAUGCAGGAGGAGAGAGAGGAGGACAGGUUUUCUUCACAUCCUGAUUGCAGUUGAUUCUUUCCUGGCCAGCACUGCCAAGCCACCAGCUACAGCCAGUUGACAUUUCAGAGCGACAAGAAAACUCCAACCAGGCACCCUAUUACACUGGAACAUCCUUUUGUAAAGGGGUCCUCAGGGGCCAUUUAUGAAGAAGCCAGGACAUCAUCCCAGGCCUCCCGAGUCAAGGCACGGUGCUCUUGCUCCACGCCAACCAUCUCUCUGGGAUGUUUGUAACUCAACCACUGUGGUGCUGCAGGAACAAGGUGU